GGGUUUUCUGUUGUGCUUGAUGUAACCAUGUGGUUCUCUGCUCACUCUGAGGCAUGGUUCUGUCAAACACCACGGAACGUCU
rnacentral:pre_miRNA from 1 species